UGGGGAAUAUUGCACAAUGGGCGAAAGCCUGAUGCAGCGACGCCGCGUGAGGGAUGACGGCCUUCGGGUUGUAAACCUCUUUCAGUAGGGACGAAGCGCAAGUGACGGUACCUGUAGAAGAAGCACCGGCUAACUACGUGCCAGCAGCCGCGGUAAUACGUAGGGUGCGAGCGUUGUCCGGAAUUACUGGGCGUAAAGAGCUCGUAGGCGGUUUGUCACGUCGUCUGUGAAAUCCUAGGGCUUAACCCUGGACGUGCAGGCGAUACGGGCUGACUUGAGUACUACAGGGGAGACUGGAAUUUCUGGUGUAGCGGUGGAAUGCACAGAUAUCAGGAAGAACACCGAUGGCGAAGGCAGGUCUCUGGGUAGUAACUGACGCUGAGGAGCGAAAGCAUGGGUAGCGAACAGG
rnacentral:rRNA from 1 species